AAAAAAAAAAAAAAAAAAACUAAAUUUUUUGAAUAGAUGAUGUAAAAUUGAAAAUAUGUAUUAAAUUAACAAAAUAUUAAUAAAAAAAUAUAUACUAAACUUAAAUGACUUGGUCAAUUUUUGAAUUUGAAUGAGCCUGUGGUAGAAAUGGCCUAAAUAUGAAUUUGUUAUUUACCCAAAGUAACAAUUCAAACAGUCAAAUUUGGCAAAGACAUGAAGAAGUGUUACAGUAAAAAUGUAAUGCAACAAAUCCCACAUUGGUAAGAUGAAUACCGUGUCACAUGAACCUUUCUACAUAACAAGCUCAAAUCGAUAUCUUAAUUACGCACCCAUGCGGUAAGCACAUAGCGAACAAUUUUCUUUCGCCUUUUACUAAAGAAUACCGUGUGCCUGCCGCUCUAUUGUGGCAUACGCUUAUUUUUGGAGGGGUUGAUCUCACUGGAUAUCAGCCCCCAACCAAACCUAGUCCAAAUUAUCCCACUUAGGCCCAAUUUUUCGGCCCAUUAAAAGAUUCCAGCCCAAACCUAUGCUAGUGAUUGAUGUUUACUUGUACUUGCACAACAAUGAAACGUAAAAUAGGCAAAAUCAAUAGAGAAGUUCCAUAAAAUAGCUAGGAGCUUAAAACACCCCUGAAAUCAGAUUUACUAUAAUACCAUUAGGUUGUAAAGAUAUAUGGAAUAAUUUUAAUUGAGACUUGAUCACUAUUAGGGGUCAUUUUCUUCAAUUAAAUUUGUAAUUUAAUUUCAUUUGAAUUUGAAUUUAUUUAAUUUCAUAUGAAUUUGAAUUAAUUAUUAAAACCCAUCACUAUUUAAUUAGUUUUUUUUCUUCUUAAUUUUAAAUUCCAAGUGGACGAAACAAGGGAAAAGUCGUCCAUGACUAUACCCACUGUCUAAUUUCUUUUCCUUUUAAUUACUUUUCAAAUGAAUAUAUAUAUAUAUAUAUUUUUUUUUGAAAGAGUUCAAAUGAAUAUAUUUAUAUUCAUAAAAAUCUCUAAUUAGAAUCUUUUUGUCCUUGACGAAAAGGCCAAAUCAACUUGUGGAAAAUCUUGAAGACAUAAGCUGUUGGCGAUUGCAAUUAGCAGCCAUUUAACAAUUUCUUUCCAGUUGAGUAUUCAAUGUAUUUGAAUAUAUAUAUAUUUUUUACUCUAUAUAGUAAUAUGAUAUCAUAAGUUAGUGUUCGUAUCUUCGGCCAAAUUUAAUUUUUUAAUUUAUUAAAAAAAUUAUGUAAGAGGUUCUUCCAAGAAAAUACCUAAUAUUGAUGCAGGAGUAGGAAGUUUCCAUCCGCUUUGAUGGAACUGAACUGAGGAAGCAUUAUAUAAGCGCAAAUCACAGAACCGAAAAGCACAAGCAAAAGCGAAAAAAAAAAAGAAUUAGAAAAACGCAGUACCUACAAUUAAGAUGGAGAAGAUACGACUGGAUGCUUCAGCUUAUUACAGAAACUUGCCACCUGCAGAAAAGCAAAGGGUAAAGAUUGGGUUCAGUGCUUUGGAUAAAACUGGAAGUGGAAAAGUGAGCCUCAAGCAAUACUCGGAAUAUUUUAAACAAAGGGGGCUUGUAGAGCUUACUUAUCCCUAUUUGUUCAAAGCAUUGGAUACAAAUGGAGAUGGCAGACUCGAUUUCAAUGAAUAUAUCACUGUCUACUACCUCUGCAUGAACAAUAAGAUGAUAUUUUGUGAAGAAUGCGGGGUCUUUCUCUCUGGAUCCUACAUGAGUUGCCUUCAAUGCUUCGAUAAUGAUUCUGGGGAUCCCUAUAAUAUUUGUUAUGAUUGUUAUAACAGAAACAACAUUGAUCAUCAUAAGGAUGCUACCUUUGUCGAUGAUAUAAAACUCCAGUGCUUAGCAGUUAAAGGUUCUGCAGAUAACAAUGGCUCCACAACUCGAAGCUCCGGUGGUAAGGUACGUAUAUAUAAUAAAAUAUAGUUCUGUUACUCUUAGAAAUAUCAAACAACAAAUCUUCAUGCAUAUAAUAAUUAAGAUCCAUCUUGAUUUUUCAGAUAACUACGAGGGAUAAGCUUAGAACAGCUUUAUUAGUGGUCUCGGCGGUGAAAUUAGGAGUGGUUGCAUCAAGUUGUUCUGUCAUGUAAAAUGUAUAUUUUGCAGCCUUCAAAAAAAAAAGAGAGAGCUGUAUAACUUCAGUGCUUGGCUAUACCUCUUGUUGUUUUAAUUUCAUUUUAUAACUAGAUAAAGGCCCGCGCGCAACGUGUGAGAUUAUUUUAUUGUUAUUUUCCACUAUAAUCUUCUUGAUAAAUGAAAAUAAAUAGUUAUCGCUGCAGUCUAAUUUUUAAUAUUGUGAAUUUAAAUUUUAAAAGUGUACCAAUGUCUUGGCAUAAGUUGUCUAAUCUAAUCGUAAAUGAAAAUGAUAGAUAAGAAAACCGCUAAGGAAUAUAUCUGAGUAUUGUAUGUCCCCUACCAAAGAAAAUUACACAUUAUCCAAUAGGUUAAUAGGAUAAAUCAAUUAAAAAAAAGAUAAUGGUGGAAGAAAAGAGUGCCAAGUCAGAUUUUUAAUGAUAUUUUUUUAUUUUAGGAUUAUAUAAAUAUGUAGAAUACAUAUAGAUAAUAAAAUAUGCCAUUUUAAAUCAUAUUCAAGCAUAACAAAACAAAUUUUAAAAAUUUCAAUCAAAUUUAAAUUCCUUAAUAUUACUAAUUAAUUCACUUUUUUAUUCAAAUAUAAGUUUGAUAAUUUAAAUCCAUCGAUUUGAAAUUAAAAUAUUGAAUCUAAAAUUUUUAUUUGAUCUAUAAAUAUAACAAAAAAAAAAAAAAAAGAGAGAGAGAGAAUUUUCUAAGUUUGAAAAUUGAAUUUAUGCUCACAAAGAGGCUUCUUGCCCAUAUAUUGAGUUUGUCGCCAAUAAAGUAGUAACAAUUGCUGAUUAUAAGCUUCAUUUUAAUAUUUCCUUUGGAAUAGAAAAUUUGUAUGUUUAGACUUAAAUUAGUUCAUGUUGAACUUAGAAUAAAAAUAAAAAUGCAUGUUUAAAUUCAAAAAAUCAAUUUUAGUUUCCAUAUAGCUUAUAAAGUUUUUUUUUUAACUUAUAAAGUUAAAAAUUUAAAACCUAGAGUCAUUGUGUGUAUAUACAUAAGUGUGCCCUAAUUGCCGUUUCAACAAUUAUUUCUUUGUGUAAUAGAAUUGGAACCUUAGGCUCAAUUAUCAAUUGUUAGUCCUUAUGAUAGGAUAGGAUAGGAAAUGUCAGUGCUUUCGCAAGUGUACGAAAUCGCUACAAGUAAUAUAGAAUGAGUAGAGUAUCGUGUCCACAGUGAUUGUAUACCAAGUACCAAAAUUAUGUUAACCUACUAUUAUUUAAACGGCAAUAAGGGAUAUUAUUUUUAGAAACUAAAUUCAACAAAUAAAAGAGAAUAAGAAGAAAUCAAGCAACAAUAUUUGAUUAAAAUAAAUCAAGAAUUUAAAGCUAUCAAGGAUUUUGACUUCACUUAAUUCUAUCCAAUUUAUUUUAUUAGUUUGAUAAUCAAUUUUAAUUGUUCAAGUAGGGGAAACAACCCUAAAAUCAUAACAAGCUCUCCUGAUAUAUUGUUAGCUAUUUUAACCCGGUCUAAUUACCUAUCUUCCAAUAGCGCAAUCAAACAUGAAUUAAAUCAUUAAAUUUUAUGGUUUGUUUUGUGCAUUCAUAACUUAAGGUUAUUAACUUAUGAAAACCCCCCAUGAGUCAAACCAUAUAGCUUUCGCAUCAAGUUAUUAUUAUCAUGUAAUUUAUUACUUUUUUCAUAUCAAAAACCUUUCUCCCGAUAGUGAUUAAUGAAAUAAAUCAAUCCAGGGGAGAAACUCUGCAUAGAAGCAUUAAGUUCAAUAAUAAUUUAUACUUUAAACAAAGAAAAGCAAAUCUAAUAUUAUAAAUUGGAAAAGAAAUUAAGCUACAUCAAAUCCCUAGUAUGAGAGUUUAGUUAAACAUGGUACUUAAAUAAAACUCAAUAAUACUUGAUAAAAGUUUUAUAAUCAAUAAGAAUAAUGAAAGAAAUAAACAAGAUUAAGAGUUUAGAAAUAAGAACUAGUUAAUAAUUGACUUCGGAUGGCUUCCUUGAAUCUUGGCACAACUCUUGAAUGCUUGAACUCUUGAAGAAAUAAAACUAUGAGAAUGAGAGAUAUAUGAGAUGGGAUGGAAUGGGAUUGUAUGGGAUUUGGGAUCCUUCCUCUCUUUAUAUAGACUUCUUGGGAUAGAACUUCUACAUUGUUUAGGGAAUAAAGUUCUCAUUAGGCCUAAAAUUUCUCUCAAUCAUGUCUCUUCCAUGUGCAUAAAUUAGAACUUGAUUUGCAUGUUAAGAAAGUAUCCAAGGUGAGCUCAUGAAAAUGAUAAGGAAUGGUUGGAAAUUUUGACUCAAAUCAACACUUGGUAUUUAGCACGGGCGUGGUGGGAAGCACGGUCUGGGCGUGCCAAGUUCUGAGUCUAUGGGGAGUUCAGCAUGGGCCGUGCUUAGAGGCACGCUUGGAUAAGGACUUGUGGCACGGGCGUGCUAGGGAGCACGGCUUGGGCGUGCUAGGCUCUGAGUCUCCACUUGAUUUUCCUUGAUUCCAGCACGGGCGUGCUGAUGUGCAAGGCUUGGGUGUGCUAGAGCCUGAGUGUUUUGCUUUAUUUUGCUCUUUUCUAUGCCAAAACCCUACAAAUUUCCUAAAGACCAAGUGAAUUAUGAUUCAAGAAAGCUUUUAUAUCAAAACAUAAAUAAAAUUAAGAUAAAAACUAAAUAAAGUAAUUAAAAAGACUAAAAACUCCUAAUAAAACUAUAUUGAAAACAUUAUAAAAAUAACACUAUCAAAAUUCCCCAAACUUAAACCAUUGCUUGUCCUCAAGCAAAAAAACUAAAAACUAACAAAGCUAGCUUAAUAUGGUAGGGAAUAAUUAUUCACAAUUUCAUAAGUAUCAAAAGUCAUUAACAUGAGAAUAAAUCAUGUGUUUCCUAUGCUAAUUAUAUUCUAGCAGAAAAAAAUUAAUUUUCAAUAAAACACAUUCCUUAAUUUAAACAUAAGUUAACAAGAUUUUUAACACCAACAAUUAUUCAACUUAUGAUAGGUAGAUAUGAAUUUUCACAAAAAUCAUUUAACCUUUAAAUAAGAGGUUUAAAUAUAAGCUCAACAUUCCCAUAGGUAAAAUUAGUCAUUCCUUCUCCACAAUUGAAAUGCAUACAAUUUAAAAGAUCAAAAUGUCUUUAUUUAGAUUGUAAUGGGGUUUUAAGGAUAUAAUUUUAGCUAAACAAAGAAAAGGACAACACGGUAGAUAAAAGUACAAAGAAUGCUUAAUAUCAUGAUUUUCAUUUAUAUUAAAAAUGAAUUUUUUUUUUUAUUUGUAAAGGGAGACUAACUUUGAAGUCCCUUACUAGCUUGAAAUUAGAGGCAUUUUUGGCAAGGUCUCUUCAUAGCAUUUUUGAUAAUUUCUUCCUUGCUAAAGUUCCCCAAAUUUGAAUUUUUGAUUCCUUGUUUCUUUUAUGGGGUGUUCCUUUUUUUUUUUUUUUUUUGUUUUUUUUUCUCUGCUUUCUUCAUUUGCUAGUAUUAAUGAAAUUUUCUCCAUUUGUUGCUAUGUUUUAAUAAAAAUCAAAUCCUUCAAUUACACAUUAUUGCCCUUAGGGUAGGAAAUUAAUUUGGUUUAAUGGCUAGGUUUAAAUACGGGUGAACAAUAAAUUUUUGAUAUAGGCUUCAAAUUAGUUGCAAAUGUCAUACUUUAACUUAUGGGGUCUAGGCUAAAUAUGAAAUUUUAACAAAAAAUGCUUAAAUCAUCUCUUUAUAAAUGUAAGCAUUUAAAUUUUUGUCUUGAAGAGAAUUUUAAUUUGUUCUAGGAAUGCCAAGGUUAAAUAAAUUUUGAUUAAAACACAUCUAUAUAUCAUAGAAUUCACAAAAUUAAUGUUUAUAAUCUUAGAAAUAAAUAGUUAAAUCAAAAAAUCAUGUUAAGUCAAAAAUUAAAAUUUAAGCUGAAAAAUAAUUAACUUCGCAACUAAAUUCAUUGCAAGUUAAUGAAUUAUGAUAAUUUUUUAAACUUUCUCACAAUUAUUCCAACCAUAUUAAAUUAAUGAAAUAAACAAACAAAAUAAUAAAAAAAAUUAAAAUUUUAACUAAAAUUUUCCUUUCCCCAACUUAAUCUAGCACAUUAUCCCCAAUGUGUGCAAAAAUAAGAUCAAUUCUCCAAACUUAUCAUAAUUCAUCAAUGCAAGGUAAGAAAACAAAAAUAAAGUAGAAAAUGCCUUACCACCAUUGUAUUGACAAAUACAAUAAAAGACAAGGAAACAAAGGGCAUGAUUCUAAUGGCUAAAUUCUUAAAAUAUGAAAGGACAAGAUAACACAAUAAUAAUAAUAAUAAUAUAGACCUAAUUGUUAAGGAAAGAAAGAAGAAAAAAUUGAAAUAAAAAAAUAAUUAAAAAAAUAAAAAAAAAUUUCCUAUAAAAAUAAUUAAAAGCAAAUAAUUAAAGACAAAAAAAAAAAAGUGAACGGUAAGUCAAAAAGAAAGAAAGAAAGAAAGUGGGUAGAGUAGGACAAAAAAAAAAAGAAAAAAAAAAAAAGAAAGAAAGAGAAAAAAAAUAGAGUAAAAAAAAAAAAGUUGCACAGCCAAAGUAAUGAGGUGCACCUGACCGUGCUGCCUGGGAGUGCUAGGUAGCACGGGGGUGCUGAUAAGCACGCUCUGACCGUACUAGAGUCUGACUAUGGACGCAUUUUUCUCUGAAAACAGCACAGGGAUGCUAGGCAGCACGCCCUGACCAUGCUAGAGCCUGACUCUGGCACUUCCAAUCAAAUUUUAAGCCUUUUUAAUCCUAUUUUUGACCUGCAAUAUAAGUACAAAACACCAAAAUAGAAGAAAAUAAUGGUUUAAAGAUGGGAGAACAAAAUGAAAAAUACAAGUAAUAAUAAAAUAAAAUAAAGAUUGCAAAGAAAGAGAAAGAAAAUGAUGGAUUGCCCCCCAUUAGCGUUUGGUUUAAAGUUUUUAAACUCGACUUUUGAGAAGUUUAUCAAAUAACGGCAUUCGCCCAUAGUAUGUAUCAUGUAGUAUCACACAUGGGUCUUGGUUAAAAAUACCCUCAAGAUUGACUAGUUUGAGAAAAUUUAUGCUCAUCAUAUCAACAACAUCUCGCUUUGAAUGAUGAACUUGGGGAAAAAUCUGUAUUAGAUCAUGGAGAACUCAAUUUAUUAAAGGUGGUAUUAUUGGAAAUAAAAUAUCUUCUGGUGGUGUAUAUAUAAAGACCAUUGAUGAGCUCAAAUCAAUAGUCUCAAUUAUUUCUUCAUCCACUCAUAUUGCUUUCUGCUUGUUGUCAUUUAGACUCUCACCCAAGGUCCCUUCCAACCGUACCUCAUUUUUUUUAUGGUCAUUAAUAAUUAUGUCUGGAAAUAAGAAAUUGAGAUUUAAUCCGUUUUCAAAGGAAUAACAUUUUUCACAUGUAGGCUUUACUUCUUCUAAAUAUGCAAUUUCCCAUGAAGUUUUCGCAGGAUUCGCCUUACACUCAUCAUCUUUAUAUCUAUUAAUUGCCAUGGUUAUUAAUUCCGUUGCUUGUACCUCCAAAUUCUUUAUUGCUGCUUGUUGGAUCUUAAAACUCUCGCGAGUGUCAUUCAUAAAUUCAAUGUGAGAUGUAGUAAGGGCAACAAUCAAAUCCUCUAAAUUCUUUUGUUUUUCUUCUUCAUAUUUAAAAUUUUGAGGAUAUUGGUGAUUCCAACCCUGCAGUGAAUGAUCCCAAUGCCAACGGUAGUCAAAAUCUGCCAUAUCAUUUAACAUAUAUAGUACAUCUUCAUAGCUGCUUUCCACAAGGUGAAUACCGGUUGCAGAAAAUCCAUUAGCUACCCAAUUUCUAGUUUCUUCAUCUAAUCCACAAUAGAAUAUGUAAGUGAGAUAUUUAUUUUUGUAAAAUUAUGACAAGAAAAUCUCUCCAACAAUUCAUUAAAUCUUGCCCAAGCUGCAUAAAAUGAUGCCUCUAAAUGUUGUUGAAUAAAACUUGCGACUACUUGUUGAUGAAACAUCUCAAAAUACUUCGCAAGAAAAAUAAAAAAAAUCGAUAAAAUAAAGAAAAACUAGAAAUAAUAUAAACAAAUAUUUCAAUUAACCAACAAAAAAAAUGUCUAAAUUAAUAAUAGGUUAAUUAGUAUUGAUAUUGGUAACGCCAAUCCCCGGCCACGGCGCCAAAAACUUGAUAGUGUUUUCCCAAGUGUACAAAAUCGCUACAAGUAAUAUAUGAUGAGUAGAAUAUCGUUCCCACGAGGAUCGUAUACCAAGUACCAAAAUUAUGUUAACCUAUUAUUAUUUAAACGAUGAAGAAUUUGUUUCAAGAAUUUAAAUUCAACAAGUAAAAUAAGAAAAGAUCAAGCAAGCAAUUAUUGAUUAAAGAAAUCAAGGAUUUAAAACUACUAUGGAUUUUGAUUUCACUUAAUUCUAUCCAACUUUAGUUCAUUAAUCAAUUUUAAUUGUUCAAGUAGGAGAAAUAACUCUACAUUCACUAACAAGCUCUCCCGAUGUAUUAUUAGCCAUUUUAAUUCCGUUUAACCAUCUAUCUUCCAAUAGCACAAUCAAUCAUGAAUUAAAUCAUUAAGUUCUGUAGUCAUUUAUGAUUCAUAAAUUAAGGUUGUUAAUUCAUGAAAAACUCCCCAUGAGUCAAACCAUAUAGCUUCCGCGUCAAGUUGUUAUUCUCAUGUGAUUCAUUAACUUUUUCAUAUUAAAAANNNNNNNNNNNNNNNNNNNNNNNNNNNNNNNNNNNNNNNNUUCUGCCUGGAAGCAUUAAGUUUAUUAAUGAAUCAUAACUUAAACAAAGAAAACAAAUCUAAUAUUAUAAAUUGGAAAAGAAGUUAAGCUACAUUAAAUCCCUAGUAUGAGAAUUUAGUUAGACAUAGUACUUAAAUAAAACUCAAUAAUACUUGAUAGAUAUUCCAUGAUCAAUAAGAAUAAUGAAAGAAAUAAACAAGAUUAAGAAUUUAGAAAUAAGAACUAGUUAACAAUUGGCUUGGAUGACUUCCUUGAACCUUUGCACAACUCUUGAAUGCUUGAACUCUUAAAAAAAGUAAAACUAUCUACAAGACUAAGAGAAUGAGAUGGAAUUGAGUAGAAUGAUAUGGGAUAUGAUAUCCUUCCUCUCUUUAUAUAGACUUCUUGGGAGAGAACUUCUAUAUUGUUUAGGGAAUAAAUCCACAUUGUUUAGGAAAUAAAUUCCAACUUGUUUAGGGAAUAAAGUUCUCAUUAGGCUUUAAAUUUCUCUCAAUCAUGUCUCUUCCACGUGCAUAAAUUAGAACUUGAUUUGCAUGUCUAGCAGAGCUGUAAAACCAUAUCUAGCGGCCCUAGAUAAAAAGAAAACUGUACAGCUUUUAGCAGUUGGGUACAAUUGGCUUAUUUUACUCUUAUAAUAACUCUCACGGGAAUCAUCUCUUCAUUAAUAAGAAUGUUGAUGCUCAUGAAUUCAUUAUUUGCCCUUCUUGUUAUGACAUUUCACAAUCUGUUUGAUAUUUCUUAUAUUUUCCAUCAAAUGAUCAAUUUUGUUUAAUUAUUACAUCAAGUUAUCCGUUUGUGUGAAUAAUCUGUUAAUAAUUAAUCAUUAGUUUCACAAUCUUGUCUUUGACUGGUUCUUUGUUGUAUCUUUGUCGUUUUGUGUUUCACUAUUUUCCACACAGGAUAGACCAUGGAAGUUUCGUACUUAGGCUCAAGCAACCCGCCAUUGCCCAUAUGCAAGGCUGUAUUCGACAAUGACAUUAAAACAAGAACCAGUCAACUAAGAAAAAAAUAUAUUAAAAGAAAUUCCAAUAUACCUAAGAUUAAUCGAUCAUUGUAAAUGACCUUCAAUUUAGAAGAGAGAAUAUAAUACACAGAUGAUGGAAGAGAUAUCAGAGACAGCAAAAGCUUAUUAUGCAAACUUAUCAGAAAAGCAGAAGCGAUUAGCAAAAGAUUUUUUCAACGAAAUGGAUAAAGAUGGAGAUGGAAAAAUUACUUUCGAUGAAUAUGAGCAAUACAUUAAGACAAAGAAAGGCUUUAAAACAAUUGCUUCUUCGGAUUUCUUUAGGAAGCUCGAUAAGGACGGAAAUGGCUCAUUGGAUUUCGAAGAAAUUUGUGACUGUACACUACAAAUGCGCAAGCGAAAGAGUUUUCUAUUGCGAUGAGUGUAGAGUCUUUCUUGAUAGAGUCUAUUUUACUUGUGUCCAGCGCUUCAAUGGCUCCGGUAAUACUUAUGAUCUCUGUGUUUCUUGCUAUCGCGAUAAGAAUAUCAUUAAUCAUCACAAGGAUGCUGUGUUUCUCGAUAAUUACACGAUGCUGCAAGCCAAGAGGAAUCAGAAUAAUGCAUCAGCAAGUAAGGUAAAAUAUUUUGAAAAUUCAGAUAUAAUCUUGAAAUUCAUAUUUUAAAGUAUUUUACUUUCCUGGAAAUAAUUAAAUCUGUAUUAUGAUGUUUAUCUUUUACCAGGGAAACAAAGGAGUUGAGGAGACCGUUGAACUUGCAACGUUUGGUAUUGAAACUACGUCUAAUGUUGUUAACUUAUGUAACCAAUUGUAAAUUUGCUCAAAAGAAAUCUUCUGGAUUGUUGUGUUUUUUCUUUUUAAACACAUCUUCGCUCAAAUAGUACAUGAAGAUUGUAUUUGUGUAGCUUAUUAUUGAGUAUAUAUUCAAUUUCCAAGUACUUUUCCUGGAAUGGGAUAGAGGGAUAACCAUUGAAGACUUUUGUAAACGUCUACAGGUCUGUGAAACAGCUUGUACAUAAUUUACGACUCUGCGCCUUUGUCAUUGACCUUGGACUUGGUAAGUCGUCUCCUGUUACCUUUUUCUCAAUUUGUGACUUACUUCAUAAGAAAGAAAGACUUAGACGACGCCUAAAAUGGUCUCACUGGACUACAGAAUUGUGGAAGACCGUGUUCAUUUGUGAGAAAAAUAAUUAGUUUUCCAAAAGAAUAGGUUACAGUGGCUCAUUUUUUAUAUAGGAAAUUCCCUUUACCAUUUUCUAGAGGAUUCUGUAAUUACAUUUGUAAUUCUUUUUCGCAUAAAUGAAGAGUUCGUAAUUUGUUUUUAAAUAGAUAAUUAAAUCCAGUUUUUAAAUAGAUAAUUAAAUCAAGUUAAUUCUCAUCUCAAAAUAAAAAAUCUAGGUAAUUGUAAUUAAUAAGAUAAUUGAAAUAGUUUACAUAUACGACAUAUUACUGUUUACUCAAUGUUCUAAAACUUGAUUGUCAAUAUUUUCUGAAACCAUUAUCGUUCAAGAAAAAUAAAUGAGUUAAGGUUGUAUUAGAGAAUAAUUUUUAAAUGGCUUUUUUAAAAAUAUCAUGGCAUUGGAACUAACUUUUUAGAGGUUACGGUAGCAUUGUGCGAAAAGUUAAUUUAUAUAACGUUUAACUCUUGGCGUUUCAUGAAAAGAUAUUCAAACAGUUAACAGCUAAACGCUAUUAAAACAGCAAAUUUUGCCAAACAAACCCUAAGUUUAAUGAACAAUUUAUAAUUUUCUUACUUUGACUUUCAUUUAAUCAAAUAUUUGAAAUGUUUUAAGAUCAGCUGUAUUUCUUAAUACACAGUGUGGAUUUGUUUUAGUAAUUAUUUGAUCUCAAGUUUGUAAAAUUAAGGGUUGAGAUAUUUGACAAUAAGAAAUUUUAAGCAAAUGAAUAUAAGAAAAAAAAAAGAAAAUUUUAAAGUAAAAGUGGCAUUUGUAAUGCAUAAAUUAAAGAAAACAUUUUGAAAUAAAAAAAAAAACUGAGAAGUAUUUAAUUAUUUUUUUUUCUUAAUUUUAAAUUCCAAGUUGACGAAACAAGGGAAAAGUCGUCCAUAACUAUACCCACCGUCUAAUUUUUUUUUCCUUUUUAUUUUUAAAUGAAUAUAUUUAUAUUCAUAAAAAUCUGUAAUUAGAAUCUUUUCUGUCCUUGACGAAAAGGCCAAUUCAACUUGUGGAAAAGCUUGAAGAGACCAGCUGUUGGCAACUGCAAUUAGCAGCCAUUUAACAAUUCCUUUGCAGUUGAGUAUUCAAUUCAACUCAACUCAACUUGUGGAAACUUUUGAAAAAAAAAAAAAAAAAGAAAAAGAAAACUCAACUUGUGGAAAAUGUAUUUGAAUAUGUAUAUAUAUAUAUAUAUAUAUAUAUAUUACUAUAUAAAGUAAAAAAAAAUAUAUAUAUAUAUAUAUUUUUUACUUUAUAUAGUAAUAUGAUAUCAUGGAACUCAUACUGCUGCGAACACUGCAUCGACCUUUUCGGACCAUGGAAGUAAUUUUGCUGAUGUCGCAUCCAAUGUUUCGGAACAUGGAAGUAAUUUUGCUGAGCAUUUAAGUACUGCUGCUGAACUUGCAUCAAAUUGUUCUGUCAUGUAAAAUGUAUAUUUUGCAGCCUUCAAAAAAAAAGAGAGCUGUAUAACUUCUGUGCUUGACUAUAUUUCUUGUUGUUUUAAUUUUAUUUUAUAACUAGAUAAAAGCUUGCCCAACGCGUGGAAUUAUUUUAUUGUUAUUUUCCACUGUAAUCUUCUUAAUAAAUGAAAAUAAAUAGUCAUCGCUGCAGUCUAAUUUUUAAUAUUGUGAAUUUAAAUUUAAAAAGUGUACCAAUGUCCAAACAUAAGUUGUCUAACCUGAUUGUAAAUUUAAAUACUAGAUUAGAAAAGUACUAAGGAACGUAUCUGAGUAUUGUAUGUCCCCUACCACAGAAAAUUACACAUUAUCCAAUAGGUUAAUAUGAUAAAUCAAUUAAAAAAAAAAAAAGAUAAUGGUGAAAGAGGAGAGUGCCAAGUCAGAUUCUUAAUGAUAUAUAUAUAUAUAUAUGUUUUAAUUUUACGAUUAUAGAUAGUAAAAUAUGCCAUUUUAAAUCAUAUUCAAGCAUAACAAAACAAAUUUAAAAUUUCACUCAAAUUUAAAUUCCUUAAUAUUACUUAAUUAAUCCAUUUUUUUUAUUCAAAUCUAAGUUUGAUAAUUUAAAUCCAUCGAUUUGAAAUUAAAACAUUGAAUAUAAAAUUUUUAUUUGAUCUAUAAAUAUUAAAAAAAGAGAAAAUUUUCUAAGUUUGAAAAUUAAAUUUAUGCUCACAAAGAGGCUUCUUGCCCAUAUAUUGAGUUUGUCGCGAAUAAAGUAGCAUAAAUUACCGAUUAUAAGCUUCAUUUAAUAUUUACUUUUGAAUAGAAAAUUUAGAUGUUUAGACUUUAAUUAGUUCAUGUUGAAAUUAGAAUAAAAAUGAAAAUGCAUGUUUAAAUUCAAAAAUUUAUUUUCCAUACAUAUUAAAUUGAUUUUGAAAUUAAAAGUAGAAUGAGUUUAAAAUGUAAAUAAAUAAUAUACUAUUUGCUUUUGCAAACUUUAUUUUUACUUGUAAAAUCAAAAAUUUAAAACCUGGAGUUAGUUGCCUGUAUAUACACAAGGGCGCCCUAAUUACCACUUGCAACCUUAGGCUCAAUUAUCAAUUGUUAGUCCAUAGGGUCUGGUCUGUAGCUUAAAAUUAAGCUUAUUCACGUUUCAAAUUCAAUGAUUAGCUAUGAGGGAAAUAGGAUAGGAUAGGAUAGGAAAUAUUAUCCUGUUUGCAUUCAGACAACACUUCAAAUCUGUUUACGCUUCCCAAGUCAAAUUGCUACUACUAUCUUACAAUUUGUCAAGCAGCCUUUAUGGAACCGUCGGGAGUAAAUAUAUGUUUUGGAGUUUGAUUUAUAAUUUUACUGCUUGUAUUUGUGUCACACCCGUUGAAAAUAUAUAUUAAAUAAAUUUAUAUUCUCAAAUUCUAAUCAAUUUAAAUUUGAAAUUCAUUUAAAAUACAUUUUGUUGCUAAUAAUGAUGAGUAGCUAUUAUCAAAAUCUUAUUUAAUACAGUAGGUAAUGAGUAGCAUAUUGUUAAAAUAGUAAUUUUACUGUUUGUACCGGUUCCAAACCUCUCUAUAACUAUUCAUAUCUUUUUUAAAUAAAAUGAAAGAGUUGAGAAAUAUCCUCAAAUACAUGUUACAUUCUUUUCGGUAAGGACAAUGAUUUAUAAAUUUUAAUAAUAUAAUUAUGAUUUACAAAACAUUUGUAAUUUAAUUUCAUAUGAAUUUGAAUUAAUUAUUAAAACCCAUCACUAUUUAAUUAGUUUUUUCUUAAUUUUAAAUUCCAAUUGGACAAAACAAGGGAAAACUCGUCAAUAACUAUACCCACAGUAUCUUUAGAUGGAUAAGAAUCUAAUUAGGUUCUUUCUGUCCCACACGAAAGGCCAAGUCAAUUUGUGGAAAAGCUUAAAGAGACAAAUUUAAUUUUUUAAUUUAAAAAAAAAAAAANNNNNNNNNNGAAAAGUGAGCCUCAAGCAAUACUCGGAAUACUUUAAACAAAGAGGGCUUGUAGAGCUUACUUAUCCCGAUUUGUUCAAAGCGUUGGAUACAAAUGGAGAUGGCAGACUCGAUUUCGAUGAAUUUAUCACUGUCUACUACCUCUGCAUGAACAAUAAACUGAUAUAUUGUGAAGAAUGCGGGGUCUUUCUCUCUGGAUCCUACAUGAGUUGCCUUCAAUGCUUCAAUAAUGGUUCUGGGGAUCCCUAUAACAUUUGUUAUGAUUGUUAUAGCAGAAACAACAUUGAUCAUCAUAAGGAUGCUUACUUUGUCGAUAAUAUAAAACUCCAUUGCUUCGCAGUUAAAGGCUCUGCAGUUAAUGAAGGCUCCGCAGUUAAUGAAGGCUCCGCAGUUAAUGAAGGCUCCGCAGUUAAUGAAGGCUCCGCAGUUAAUGAAGGCUCCGCAGUUAAUGAAGGCUCCGCAGUUAAUGAAGGCUCCGCAGUUAAUGAAGGCUCCGCAGUUAAUGAAGGCUCCGCAGUUAAUGAAGGCUCCGCAGUUAAUAAAGGCUCUGCAGAUAAUAAUGGCUUCACAACUCGAAGCUCCGGUGGUAAGGUAUGUAUAUAUUAUAUAAUAUAAUUCUGAUACUCUUAGAAAUAUCAAACAACAAAUCUUCAUGCAUAUAACAAUUAAUAUCCAUCUUGAUUUUUCAGAUGACUACGAAGGAUAAGCUUACAGCAGCUCUAUUAGGGGUUUCUGUGGUGAAUUUAGGAAUAAAUACUGCAAAGUUUGUGGCAACUAGUAAACCAGAAUUAUGGGAACAAGCAAAACAAGUUUUCGAUGGUCCCCAAAAAAAUACUUCAGGUGCUGCUGAAUCUGCAUUCGAAUUGUCCGAUCAUGGAAGUAAUGCUGUUAAUUCCGCAGCCGACUUGUCUGAUCAUGGAACUAAUAUUGCUGCUAACACUGCAUGGAACUUUUCGGACCAUGGAAGUAAUUUUGCGGAUGUUGCAUCCAAUUUUGCGGACCAUGGAAGUAAUGUUGCUGAUGUCGCAUCCAAUUUUCCUGACCAUUUAAGCACUGCUGUUGAAAUUGCAUCAAAUUGUACUGUCAUGUAAAAUUUAUAUUUUGCAGCCUUCAACGAAGUGUAAAAUAUCUACUUCUUUUUGUUUAAUUUCAUCUUAUAAUAAUAAAGCUUGCUGGUUUGGAUUUAGUUCCCAGGAGAUGCAGAGCUAUUUGCACAAUACUUUUUCUUAAUAAUAAAUAAUCUCGUUUUGCUGAUAAAAAAAAUAAAAUAUUCCAUUUCAAAUCAUAAUUGAACUUAUCCAUGGCCUCCCAUUCAUCAGACAACAGAACAAAAUUUUAAAUUUUCACUCAAAUUUAAAUUCCUUAAUAUUUCUUAAUUAAUUCAUUUUUCUAUUCGAAUCUAAGUUUGAUAAUUUAAAACCAUCAAUUUGAAAUUAAAACAUUGAGUAUAAAAUUUGUAUUUGAUCUAUAAAUAUAACAAAAAAAAGGAGAAAAAAAAAAUGGAAGUUUGAAAAUUAUGUUUAUGCUCGCAAAGAAGCCUUUUGCCCAUAAAAGAGUUUGUCGCCAAUAAAGAGUAAUAAAACAACUGCUAAUUAUAAGCUUCGUUUAAUAUUUCCCUUGAAAUAGAUAAUUUGGAGGUUUAGACUUUAAUUAUUUCACCUUUAAAUUAUAAUAAAAACGGAAAUGUAUGUUUAAAUUCAAAAAAUCAUUUUUAGUUAAAUUGACUUUAUAUGUUACUUCCAGACAUAUUAAACUGAUUUUAAAAUUAAAAUUAGAAUGAAUUUAAUAUGUAAUAAAUAAAUGUAUUUGCCUUUGCAAACUUUAUUUUUACUUGCAAAGUCAAAAAUUUGAAACCUAAUGUCAUCGUGUGGUGUGUGUGUACACAUAAGGGUGCCCUAAUUACCACUUCAGCAAUUCCUUAUUAAGCUUAUUAACACUUCAAAUUCAGUGAUUAGCUAUGAGGAAAAUGGGAUAGGAAAUGUUGUCCUGUUAGGAUUCAGAGAAACACUUGAAAUACAAUUUGAUACUAUCUUACAAUUUGUUAAGCAGCCUUUAUGGAAACUGUGGGAAGAACUUGAUGUCUUGCAAUUUGUUAAGCAGCCUUCGUGGAAACUGUGGGAGAGUAAAUAUAUGUUUUUCGAAUUAAUAUAGAAUGAAUAGAUCCGUCUCUUCUUCCAUUCAUCACAUAUAUCGUGAAGGAAAUCAAGCCGUAUAUCUUUUGACCACUCAUCAUAGAGUUCAUCAUACUUCUCUUUCUUUUAUCUCUUUUAAUUUUUUGCCUCAUUUGAUUAAAGGAAUUGUAUUAUUGAAAGUUAUAGGACUAAAUAUUUGAGAUAUAAAUAAAAUAAAGAUAUUUUUUGCUAAAAAAAAAAAAAUAGAUCCGAAUUUAAUUAAAAUACAUUUUAUUGCUAAUAAUGAGUAGGAUAUCCACGAGUAUCUAUUAUAAAAAAACCUGUUUAAUAUAAGCAGAUAACAGAUAAUAUAUAUCAAAAACUUAAAUGCGUAGCCCUAGCUAUUUAUACUAUAAAUAAUGAUUUUAUCGUCUGUGCCAUUUUAAACUUUUCUAUGACCAUUUGUACUUUUAUUAAAUGGAUUGGAGGAGGCGAGUAUUUUACUUGUCGGCUUCUUCCCAAUAAGGACAGCUAUUACUCAUUAGGUAGUGAAUUAUUUACUAAUUUAAUAAAAUAAAAUAUGAGUUGAUGAUUAAAAAAAAAAAAAGGUCCAAAGACGAAAGGUUCUCUGCAAUUGGCAGCUUUGAGAUUCGGUAUGAACUGUAGGGCAACUUCUUUCCAAUUGAAUAUUCAACUUUGGCCGACCAAUUGAAAUACAUGUAGGAAGCAAUAUAUACAGGGAAAAUCACAAAACCAAAAAGCAAAAGCAAAAAAUAGAAAAAAAAACCCAACGGAUAUAGAUUAAAAGAUGGAGGAGAUACGACAGGCUGCUUCAGCUUAUUACAGAAACUUGGCAACUGCAGAUAAGCAGAUGGCAAUCAAUGGGUUCAAUUUAAUGGAUAAAACUGGAAAUGGGACAAUUAGCCUCAGGCGAUAUUCAGAAUACUUCAAACAAAGAGGGCUUAUAGAGCUUACUUAUCCUGAAUUUUUCAAAGCAUUGGAUUCGGAUGGAGAUGACCGGCUUGAUUUCGAUGAAUUUAUCACUGUCUACUACCUCUGCAUGAAUAAUAAACUGAUAUUCUGUGAAGAAUGUAUGGUGUUUCUAUCUGGAUCGUACAUGAGUUGCCUUCAAUGCUUCAAUAGUGGUUCUGCUGGAAGCAUUAAGUUUAUUAAUGAAUCAUAACUUAAACAAAGAAAACAAAUCUAAUAUUAUAAAUUGGAAAAGAAGUUAAGCUACAUUAAAUCCCUAGUAUGAGAAUUUAGUUAGACAUAGUACUUAAAUAAAACUCAAUAAUACUUGAUAGAUAUUCCAUGAUCAAUAAGAAUAAUGAAAGAAAUAAACAAGAUUAAGAAUUUAGAAAUAAGAACUAGUUAACAAUUGGCUUGGAUGACUUCCUUGAACCUUUGCACAACUCUUGAAUGCUUGAACUCUUAAAAAAAGUAAAACUAUCUACAAGACUAAGAGAAUGAGAUGGAAUUGAGUAGAAUGAUAUGGGAUAUGAUAUCCUUCCUCUCUUUAUAUAGACUUCUUGGGAGAGAACUUCUAUAUUGUUUAGGGAAUAAAUCCACAUUGUUUAGGAAAUAAAUUCCAACUUGUUUAGGGAAUAAAGUUCUCAUUAGGCUUUAAAUUUCUCUCAAUCAUGUCUCUUCCACGUGCAUAAAUUAGAACUUGAUUUGCAUGUCUAGCAGAGCUGUAAAACCAUAUCUAGCGGCCCUAGAUAAAAAGAAAACUGUACAGCUUUUAGCAGUUGGGUACAAUUGGUUUAUUUUACUCUUAUAAUAACUCUCACGGGAAACAUCUCUUCAUUAAUAAGAAUGUUGAUCCUCAUGAAUUCAUUAUUUGACUUCUUGUUAUGACAUUUCACAAUCUGUUUGAUAUUUCUUAUAUUUUCCGUCAAAUGAUCAAUUUUGUUUAAUUAUUAUUACAUCAAGUUACCCGUUUGUGUGAAUUACGAUAUUAUAUCAUGCAAUAUACAAUAAUCUGUUAAUAAUUAAUCAUUAGUUUCACAAUCUUGUCUUUGACUGGUUCAUUGUUGUAUCUUUGUCGUUUUGUGUUUCACUAUUUUCCACGCAGGAUAGACCAUGGAAGUUUCGUAUUUAGGCUCAAGCAGCCCGCCAUUGCCCAUAUGCAAGGCUGUAUUCGACAAUGACAUUAAAACAAGAAUCAGUCAACUAAGAAAAGAAUAUAUUAAAAGAAAUUCCAAAAUACCUAAGAUUAAUCAAUCAUUAUAAAUGAUCUUCAAUUUAGAAGAGAGAAUAUAAUAUACAGAUGAUGGAAGAGAUAUCAGAGACGGCAAAAGCUUAUUAUGCAAACUUAUCAGAAAAGCAGAAGCGAUUAGCAAAAGAUUUUUUCAACGAAAUGGAUAAAGAUGGAGAUGGAAAAAUUACUUUCGAUGAAUAUGAGCAAUACAUUAAGACAAAGAAAGGCUUUAAAACAAUUGCUUCUUCGGAUUUCUUUAGGAAGCUCGAUAAGGACGGAAAUGGCUCAUUGGAUUUCGAUGAAUUUGUGACUGUACACUACAUAUGCGCAAGCGAAAGAGUUUUCUAUUGCGAUGAGUGUAGAGUCUUUCUUGAUAGAGUCUAUUUUACUUGUGUCCAGUGCUUCAAUGGCUCCGGUAAUACUUAUGAUCUCUGUGUUUCUUGCUAUCGCGAUAAGAAUAUCAUUAAUCAUCACAAGGAUGCUGUGUUUCUCGAUAAUUACACGAUGCUGCAAGCCAAGAGGAAUCAGAAUAAUGCAUCAGCAAGUAAGGUAAAAUAUUUUGAAAAUUCAGAUAUAAUCUUGAAAUUCAUAUUUUAAAGUAUUUUACUUUCCUGGAAAUCGAAAUAAUUAAAUCUCUAUUAUGAUGUAGGGAAACAAAGGAGUUAAGGAGACCGUUGAACUGGCAAAGUUUGGUAUUGAAACUACGUCUAAUGUUGUUAACUUAUGUAACCAAAUGUAAAUUUGCUCAAAAGAAAUCUUCUGGAUUGUUGUGUUUUUUCUUUGUAAACCCAUCUUCACUCAAAUAAUACAUAAAGAUUGUAUUUGUGUAGCUUAUUAUUAUGUAUAUAUUCAAUUUCCAAGUACUUUUCCUGGAAUGGGAUAGAGGAAUAACCAUUGAAGACUGGAUGCUUCAGCUUAUUAUAGAAGCUUGCCACCUGCAGAAAUGCAAAAGGCAAAGGAUGGGUUCAGUGCAAUGGAUAAAACUGGAAGUGGAAAAGUGAGCCUCAAGGAAUACUCGGAAUAUUUUAAACAAAGAGGGCUUGUAGAGCUUACUUAUCCCGAUUUGUUCAAAGCAUUGGAUACAAAUGGAGAUGGCAGACUCGAUUUCGAUGAAUAUAUCACUGUCUACUACCUCUGCAUGAACAAUAAACUGAUAUAUUGUGGAGAAUGCGGGGUCUUUCUCUCUGGAUCCUACAUGAGUUGCCGUCAAUGCUUCAAUAAUGGUUCUGGGGAUCCCUAUAAUAUUUGUUAUGAUUGUUAUAGCAGAAACAACAUUGAUC
rnacentral:lncRNA from 1 species